rnacentral:rRNA from 1 species
GAUGAACGCUGGCGGCGUGCCUAAUACAUGCAAGUCGAGCGAACAGAUAAGGAGCUUGCUCCUUUGACGUUAGCGGCGGACGGGUGAGUUACACGUGGAUAACCUACCUAUAAGACUGGGAUAACUUCGGGAAACCGGAGCUAAUACCGGAUAAUAUAUUGAACCGCAUGGUUCAAUAGUGAAAGGCGGCCUUGCUGUCACUUAUAGAUGGAUCCGCGCCGUAUUAGCUAGUUGGUAAGGUAACGGCUUACCAAGGCAACGAUACGUAGCCGACCUGAGAGGGUGAUCGGCCACACUGGAACUGAGACACGGUCCAGACUCCUACGGGAGGCAGCAGUAGGGAAUCUUCCGCAAUGGGCGAAAGCCUGACGGAGCAACGCCGCGUGAGUGAUGAAGGUCUUCGGAUCGUAAAACUCUGUUAUCAGGGAAGAACAAAUGUGUAAGUAACUGUGCACAUCUUGACGGUACCUGAUCAGAAAGCCACGGCUAACUACGUG